GAUGAACGCUGGCGGCGUGCCUAAUACAUGCAAGUCGAGCGAACAGACGAGGAGCUUGCUCCUCUGACGUUAGCGGCGGACGGGUGAGUAACACGUGGAUAACCUGCCUAUAAGACUGGGAUAACUUCGGGAAACCGGAGCUAAUACCGGAUAAUAUAUUGAACCGCAUGGUUCAAUAGUGAAAGACGGUUUUGCUGUCACUUAUAGAUGGAUCCGCGCCGCAUUAGCUAGUUGGUAAGGUAACGGCUUACCAAGGCGACGAUGCGUAGCCGACCUGAGAGGGUGAUCGGCCACACUGGAACUGAGACACGGUCCAGACUCCUACGGGAGGCAGCAGUAGGGAAUCUUCCGCAAUGGGCGAAAGCCUGACGGAGCAACGCCGCGUGAGUGAUGAAGGUCUUCGGAUCGUAAAACUCUGUUAUUAGGGAAGAACAAAUGUGUAAGUAACUAUGCACGUCUUGACGGUACCUAAUCAGAAAGCCACGGCUAACUACGUG
rnacentral:rRNA from 1 species